AUGCUGAACUCUGGCAACAUAGCUAGAGUGUGGAAAGACACGAUCAGGGGCGGGGCCCCUUCGCAAACCCAAUUCCCUACCUUGUACAGUAUCUGCAAUUACCAGGAAAUCACGGUGGUUGAUUUCAAAAUUUUUGAAGGUGGGGAUCUCCUUAGGAGACGCCUGCACCCUCCUCUUGCAGAUCAGUGGAAGGACCUUGUUAAGGUGGUGAACUCCUGGCCCUUGUCUAAUGAAUCUGAUCAGGUUGUUUGGGCCUUGGGAAAAAAGAAACGGUUCUCGACCAAAUCAAUUUACCCCUAUUUGGAAAGACACCUGGCAGGAUGUGAUUAUAAGUGGAUUUGGAAAGCCAAGACCCCCCUUAAAAUUCAAAUUUUUCUAUGGCACCUUUUCCAAGAUGCUAUCCUGACUAGAGAAGUCGUGAAGAAACGGAACUGGGCUGGUAAUCCCAGGUGCUCAUUUUGCAGAGAGGUUGAAACAUCACAACAUCUUUUUUUCACAUGCCAUGUUGCUCGUGUAGCCUGGAGGACAGAUCUAUGCCCGAACAACAUUUGGCAAUACUUUUCCUGGUGCUAUGUUUUCCUCCCGGUUGGGGCUAGGUUCUAUACCUUUGGCUUGGCAGCGGUUUGCUGGGCGAUUUGGAACUGCCGUAACCAAGCGACGUUCGAGCAGGAAAAACUUAAGACUCCAUUUAAUGUGAUAUAUUCUGCUUGUGCUUUUUUGACAUACCGGGCAGGUUUGAUGGCUGGUGAGGACCGUGAAGCCAUGGAGCGGGGAGCCAAGAUGCUCGGGACUAAUGCUUCGACGAUGAUGCGAAUCUGUGCGGCUCCAGUAGAAGUAGCUAUGGAGUGA
rnacentral:rRNA from 1 species